UGUAUGGAGAAGUGAAAGGACUCUUUGGGACUCUUUCUUGAGUGUUCCUUUAGAAGGGACAAGUGUUUGUGUGCCCUUUAUUCAGACUACCGGCACAAGAAUGUCUACCUCUCCCUGCAACCAACCCAUCCUAUCCCAGCAAACACGAACUGUUGGCGGGGACAUGAGGAACCCGUCUCCAUGUCCUCUGAAAAAUCCAAACAGCCUAGCUGUGUACAGUUACACUGCCAGUAGGAACAGAAACCAUGGAAAUGGGUUCACAGGGGAGGAUGAGGAAGAAGCUGUCUUCAGGAAUCGCAACACUUUUUCCACAACCAAGGUAAAAAAUCAGAGAGGAAGGAGAACGGGAUAAAGAGAAGAGGCAGUGAAGAGGAGAGAUGAGAAAACUCGGUGGGAAACGUGUUUUCUGUUUUCGUUCCUGAUGUGGAAGGGAUCUCUUCUCAGGCACAAACAAACUUUCAAACCUGGCCCUGCCCUGUGCUUCCAGCCCUGACUGGCUGCUCCCCCAGGGCCUGCCCGGAGUUCUCUGGGGAAAGUUGUUUCUGGGACCCAGGAGACUUCUCUCCCUUGCUGCUGGCCCUCAUCCCUCAAACUCUCAGUUCAGCUGGCCAACUCCCUGGCUGAGUUUUCUUCUGGUGAUUAAAAACAUACAAGUCAAUCUUU